UACGUAGGGGGCGAGCGUUGUCCGAAGUUACUGGGCGUAAAGCGCGCGUAGGCGGGGAAUUAAGUGAGAAGUGAAAGGCUGGGGCUCAACCUCAUGCAGUGCUUCUCAUACUGGUUCUCUUGAGGGCGGUAGAGAGAAGUGGAAUGGCUGGUGUAGCGGUGAAAUGCGUAGAUAUCAGGAGGAACACCAAUAGCGAAGGCAGCUCGCUGGGACGGUACUGACGCUAAGGCGCGAAAGCGUGGGGAGCGAACAGG
rnacentral:rRNA from 1 species